AGAGUUUGAUUAUGGCUCAGGAUGAACGCUGGCGGCGUGCUUAACACAUGCAAGUCGAACGAGGGUUGCUGGUUGAAGUUUCGGAUGGAAACCGGUAAUUCCUAGUGGCGGACGGGUGAGUAACGCGUGGGGAACCUGCCCCGCUCCGGGGGAUACCAGCUGGAAACGGCUGUUAAUACCGCAUAAGCGCACAGUAUCGCAUGAUGCAGUGUGAAAAACUCCGGUGGAACGGGAUGGCCCCGCGUCUGAUUAGCCAGUUGGCAGGGUAACGGCCUACCAAAGCGACGAUCAGUAGCCGGCCUGAGAGGGCGACCGGCCACAUUGGGACUGAGACACGGCCCAAACUCCUACGGGAGGCAGCAGUGGGGAAUAUUGCACAAUGGGGGAAACCCUGAUGCAGCCGACGCCGCGUGAGUGAGGAAGUAUUUCGGUAUGUAAAGCUCUAUCAGCAGGGAAGAAGAUGACGGUACCUGCACAAGAAGCCCCGGCUAACUACGUGCCAGCAGCGGC
rnacentral:rRNA from 1 species